rnacentral:rRNA from 1 species
ACGCUCGACACCUACGGGGGGCAGCGGUUGGGAAUAUUGGACAAUGGAGGAAACUCUGAUCCAGUGACGCCGCGUGAAGGAAGAAGGUCUUCGGAUUGUAAACUUAUUUUGUCAGGGAAGAAAAAUGACUGUACCUGAAGAAAAAGCACCGGCUAACUACGUGCCAGCAGCCACGGUAAUCUGAGCGGGCUGGCAAGGC